AUCCCAUGAUGUGGAAAUCUUUUCAAUAGCUCUUUAAACCUUUCCCAAGCUUCAUACAAAGACUCACCAUCAAAUUGUGUGAACAAGGUGAUAUCAUUCCUCAUCUU
rnacentral:snoRNA from 1 species